CUUAUCCUCUGUGAACUUUAAGCCUCGAGGAAUAUCAUUGGGAAAGAGGAGCACUGCAAUAUCCUCAUUAUGCUUGCCAGCUAUAUUCUGAAUAAAGAAUUCCUCUGUUAUUGGAACUCCAUCAUUGAAAUUUAUCUGUUGGAUCACAAAUUUUAAUUAAUCCCCAAACAAAUUGUUAGAAUUUAUAGCUCAUUGAGGUCAUAAUCAGCUCAAAGUUAUAAAUCCAUCAGAAUCAGUCAAACAACAUGUGGAAGCUUCCAUUUCAGAAAAUUCACUAUUCCAUAGAAGAACUCUACAGGAGUACAAUUUCUCAUGAAGUGAUGUAAACUUUUCCAUUGUGAAAGUUGGAUUAUGUAAACAUGUGUUGAAGGAACAACAAUUGUAAAUGAUCAUAUAUGCAGUAUUACUAAUAAAAUAGAUGUUAAGAGAGAAAGUGAGAGAGGGCAGGAUUACCUCCUGAAGCAUUUCACGGAAGGCAUAAUAGUGAAGGGGGUCUGAAUCACAUAGUGUUCCAUCAACAUCAAAUAGUACAGCUUCCAAGGGAGCAAGUCCGGAAAGAGCACUUUUCCUGCAUCCAGAAAUUGAAGACGAUGACCUGUAAGAGCUUUCAACAUGAUCAAGAACUCAAAAGCAACAAAUAAUCACUUUCUAUAUACACUAUAUGUCGACUAUAUUUGCAUAUUUCAACUGGUUUCUCCGGAUCAUAAUCCUAAAACUAACUAAAUAAUCCCAUUCCAGCCCCAAAAGGCUUGAAUUCUAAACUAAUGCACAAACGACUAUUAACCUUUCCUCAAGGCAGUGGACAAUUGAGUUUUGCUUUGAUACAGUUUAAGAACACCUGUUGCAGCAACCCUUGAGAUCUCCUAUUUCUCAAACAAAACUUCAUAUUUGUCUAGAAGUAAAAAUUUACCAAUUGCUGAAUUCAAAGAGAGUGGUGGACAUAUUAUACUUUAAUUCAGUUUUAACAGAGACUGAUGCUAGUGGUUGAGCCUUACAUAUCAAACGAACUAAUCAAUUCCAUUACACCUCAACAAUUUAAUUACUUAUAAUUCAAUAUGGGGGCUUUAGCCCAAUUCAUUUCUCUUUCUCAGUAAGCAACAGGUAGUAGUAAUGGAGGAACCACCUAAUUGCACAGGAAAAAAAUUCCCUAAAUUAUUCUAUAUUGGAAGUAGGCCUAAUACAUACCAUAAGAAAAAUCAGAACUCAGAGAAGCAGCUUGAAGCAUGCCUAAUUGAACAAAUACCCAUCUCAAAUCAGAUUUCUAGGACAAAGGGAGCAAUUACAACACCUACUUAACUGGGAAUUAAUCAAAUUAUAUCCCACAGAGAAAAGAAAAAGGGAGGGACAGCUGAAUAACAUCCAGAAAAGAAGUGCAUGCACAAUAAAUAAUCACAGAAAUCUAAUAAUGGGUGUCAGAAAAAUCCAAAAUAACAUGAAAUAACCGAAUAAGUAGACAUUGAAUCAAGGCACAUUGCAGCAAAGCUCUUGAGAUGUUAGUCGAUAAUUGAAUAUAUAUUGAAGAAAUGAAGAAACCCAGAUGAAAUAUACUCCGAAAUGAAACAAAAAUCAAAUGGAAGAAAAAAGAGAUCACAAACUCACGUAUCAACAGAAUUAUCUGUAGAAGAAACUGUCAUCCUGUGAUUUGCAGUGCAAAAACCAAAACGCUUUCUUUCCUGUUUCGAUGGUAUAUAAUAUUGUUCCAGUGAUGGGUAUUGACGAAGAGAUCCAGAAAUAAACGAAUGGUUAACAUACGAAGCGAAGGAGCGAGAAAGAGAAUCUAACAUAGAAUCAGAAACCAUAGG
rnacentral:lncRNA from 1 species